UACGUAGGUGGCAAGCGUUGUCCGGAAUUAUUGGGCGUAAAGCGCGCGCAGGUGGUUUCUUAAGUCUGAUGUGAAAGCCCACGGCUCAACCGUGGAGGGUCAUUGGAAACUGGGGGACUUGAGUGCAGGAGAGAAGAGUGGAAUUCCACGUGUAGCGGUGAAAUGCGUAGAGAUUUGGAGGAACACCAGUGGCGAAGGCGACUGUCUGGUCUGUAACUGACACUGAGGCGCGAAAGCGUGGGGAGCAAACAGG
rnacentral:rRNA from 1 species